rnacentral:lncRNA from 1 species
AACACGGGAAGACCUCACACGCUCAUAUCCAAGCCACCCCAAAGCCUCUCCUUUCACUGAUGUGACAUCUCGGAUUGGUGGUGGUGGGGAAGGGGCGGGGGUAGAGAUGGAACAAAAUUGACAAAACUGGCCAUGAGUUGCUCAUUGUUGACGCUGGGCAAUGGAUGCUUGGGAGUGACUUUCGUGUAUAUUUGAAAUUUUCUGUAAUAGAAGAUUUUAAAAUUGUAAUUGCAUAGCAAAUGUAAAUAUUAACAUAUAUGCACAUUUAUAUAUUAUAUAUUUAUAUCUAUACUUUAUGGAUUAUAUAAUAUACUAUUUAAGUAAAUAAUGUAUACGAUAGCAGUAUAAUGUAUACAUGCAUCUUACACACACGCCCCUCUCCAGUCCUCCACUACCACAAGCACCAUCGCUCCCCACCAGCAUCUCUGCAGGCACCUUGGCGCUCAUCUCCCUGCUCCGCCUUCGCCCUGCGUUGCGUUCUCCACACAGCAGCCACGGUGACUUUGUUAAAAUGUGAGUCAGACCACAUCACUCCAUUCCACUUAGAAUGAAGCCCGGUCCUGGCCUCUGAGGCCCUGCUGGGCUCCUGCUGCCCUUGCCGUGGCCUCUGCUCCAGCCCGAGGGCCACCCGUGAGUGCUGGGAAGGGCAUCCCCAGCUCGCUCUUGCUCAAGACCUUAGCACCUGCAGUUCCCUUUCCCUUGAUGACUUUGCCCCGAUCUGUGCAUGGGUGUCCCCUCCCCUUGUUUCGUCCCGAUCUCUGUUCCCAUCUUAUCUCAUGGGGAGGAUUUCUCCAACCUCCUCGCAUAACACAGCACUCUCCCUGCUGUGCAGCCCCGGACUGUUCUAUUUCCCACGGUAGCGGCUACCACCGCCCGACACACUGAGUGUUCUCUCGUUGGCUUAUUCUGUCUCCCUGCUAGAAGCAACCUUGUUUUGUUUAGUGGACCCCCAGCACCUAGAGCAGGGUCUGGCACCCAGGCAAGGCCUCAAUCCAUACUUGUUGAAUGAAUGAGUGGAGCUCCAUUUCCACGGAGCCACUGAGACGUGGCUGAAGUAACAACACUAGAAGUCAGGGACACAGCUGGGGCUUGAAGCUGGGACUAGUUUCACCCUGAGCCCCCGGCUAUAUGCUCUGCCUGUGUUCCUGAGAGGGGAGGGGAUGGGGCCCAGAGCACAGACACAUGGAGGGCCCCAUCCAAGGGCACAGGGACCGAGGGGAGGAGAGAAACGAGGCUGGCAGGCAGUGGCAUAGACUCCGCUUUGCGGAGCUGUGGGGAAGUAGCUCUGCAGGCUGUUGGCUUCUCUUGCCUUUCAGAAGCAGGUGGAAGGUCCUUCUCCCAAGAGAGGCAGAGCUGCUGAGGAGUCUGCAGGAAUGCUCCAUCUGUCCCCAUAGUGUUAAUGUCACUUCAGCCUCAGAGCUAGAUGGGCGGCCUACCCUUUCCCUUCCCACUCCCGCUGGCUCCUGUGCCCUGGCAGGCCAGGGCCUAGUGAAGACCCCCAAGAAGGCAGCACCUUCCUCUGUCUUUGGCAAUGUGGGAUCUGAUGGGUCCAAGAGUGCCCAACCCAUGGGAGGAGCGGUGCUAGUCCUGUCUGGCUGAGGGGCUGCCUUGCAGGCCCCUGCAGACCCCCACCUCCUCUCCCGAGAGGGCCGGCUCCCCAGGGAGGACUUAGGCUGGUCUGAGGGGUGCUGGUGCUGGUCCAGCCGGGGGAUGCUGCAACCAGGUCUCCUCACUGGCCUGUCUCGGUCCACAUCCUCCAUGGAGCAGACAUCACGUUCAUGUUCUUUUUGCUUUUUAAAAAUGAAAUUUAUCCUUGUCUCCCAUUGGAAAAUGAAUGCAUGCUCAUUAUAGAAAAUGUGGGAAACAGAUCAGAAGAAAGAAGAGUAAAUAAAAAUUGCCUUUUCCAAUGUGGCAUCACCACAGCUCCUCUGGCACAGGGCCCUGGGCUGGGCAGGGAGUUGUGGACUGUGUGGCCAACAGGCCAUCGGGCUGUGGGUCUACAGGGGAUGCCAUCGGUGGCUUGGGCCUUCCUCCCUUGAGGGUUUGGGGAAAUGGUGUCCAGCCCCCGCACAGUUGUCCACAGUGAUGCAGAGAGUGGAGCUGACGAGAGUUGCUAUAUUUAAUUUUGGUGCCUGCGUCACCUCUGACCACACAGCAGCGUCUGCCCAGGCAGGCAGCACAUGGCUGGGGGUGUUUCUGAACGACGCUGUGAGAGAAUCACUUUCCCCAAGAAAAGGUAUAGCAGAGGGGAAGGGAGAGACAGCAACAGAAAGUGAGGUCAAUUUCUCCACAUAUUCAGAACGUCCUAAAAGCUCCACAAAAUCUUCAUCAUGAGUGAUUACCAGAAGCUGGAAGUUACGCUGCUGUGAGCGACUUUUUAAAGGCUUACUCCUUCGCCUGGGAUUUUCCUGACCUGUUACUACUUUUCUCUGGAAGAAAAAUUUAAAAGUAAUAAAGACAAACUACAGUUACUUGGGUGAGUUGGCUCCCCAGGCUUUUGAGAUACCUGCCUUUUGUCCAGCACUGCAUCGUCCUCGCAUAUCCAAGGCUGUGUCUCCCUUCAGCAUCACCACUCGGUAGUUAUAAUUCCGCCUUUUAUCAGAAGCUGAUACAUUUUCAUCGGCAUCAGACCGUAUUUCUAUGUAUUCAAUAUCUGAC